rnacentral:lncRNA from 1 species
UCAAUUUGCUGCCAUAUUUGCUCAGCAUCAAAACCAUCCGUCAAGAGUUGAGCGAAAGGUGAUUUCGGGGUGUAGGGUUUGAGAGAAGAGUAUAGAUACUUGGAGGCUAAUCGAGCUGCUUCGGAAAGGUCCGGUGAUGCUGAGAGGUAGAGAGGUGCAUCAGUGGAUUUGAGCCGCCGGAGAGCCCUAACGCCGCCAGCAUUUUGGCUGUCGUCCGCCGUGGUUGCCAUGGCGGAGAAUGACGUUGUUCUUGUUGAGGUUUGUAGGGUUUAAGGAAGACUUGAGGUUUUUCUUUCUUUCAAAAAUUUUAAUUUUUAUUUCUAUAUAUGGUCCGUAACCCGACCCGGAUGGGGGGUUUUGCCCUUUUAAUAUGGAGUGCUAAAGAUGAGGAACAUCCAUCUUACUUUUGUACUU